GGGAGUGCAUCCGAGCUGGUGUUCGGCCUGGUCUUCAAAACCUGUGGGGUCCCUCCUCGAGAGGGGCCCGGUGGGUCCGAUUCCCAUGCACUCCCGCCA
rnacentral:tRNA from 1 species